UUCCUCCUCUACAGGAUCUUCCCAACCCAAGGAUUGAACUUGUGUCUCCUGAGGCUCCUGCAUUGCAGUUUAGAGAACCCUGUGUGGCUUCCACCUCAGACACCACUGACUGUGAACGAGGCUGUUGGGCGUGUGAUAGACCAACAUCAAAAGAAAGCAUGUGGGAGUAAAGCAGAGCGAGUCAAAGUCAUCACAGUAACGCAUGCUGACUGCACAUGUCUUGACUGGAGGUUGGCUUUUGCUUUUCCAAAGGGUAUAUUUCCAAUGGUA